AUUGAACGCUGGCGGCAUGCCUUACACAUGCAAGUCGAACGGCAGCGGACCUUCGGGUGCCGGCGAGUGGCGAACGGGUGAGUAAUGCAUCGGAACGUACCUUUCAGUGGGGGAUAACGUAGCGAAAGUUACGCUAAUACCGCAUAUUCUGUGAGCAGGAAAGCAGGGGAUCGCAAGACCUUGCGCUGAUUGAGCGGCCGAUGUCAGAUUAGCUAGUUGGUGAGGUAAAGGCUCACCAAGGCGACGAUCUGUAGCGGGUCUGAGAGGAUGAUCCGCCACACUGGGACUGAGCCACGGCCCAGACUCCUCCGGGAGGCAGCAGUGGGGAAUUUUGGACAAUGGGGGCAACCCUGAUCCAGCCAUGCCGCGUGAGUGAAGAAGGCCUUCGGGUUGUAAAGCUCUUUCGGCCGGGAAGAAAUCGCACAGGCUAAUACCUUGUGUGGAUGACGGUACCGGAAUAAGAAGCACCGGCUAACUACGUGCCAGCCGCCGCCGUAACAC
rnacentral:rRNA from 1 species